AAGGAUCAUUAAUGAAGUUUGGGCUUCGGCCCUCUCUCUUCUAAAACACUUGUGAACUUACAUCGUUGCUUUGGCAGGUUUCCUUCUGAGUUGAAAACUCAGAAUGGUUAAAUCGAGAGAUGCCUGCCAAAGACAUUCAAUAACCCUUUUUAUAUUGUCUGAUUUUUGUUUUAAACAAAAUAUAAUAAAACUUUCAACAAUGGAUCUCUUGGCUCUGGCAUCGAUGAAGAACGCAGCGAAAUGCGAUAAGUAAUGUGAAUUGCAGAAUUCAGUGAAUCAUCGAAUCUUUGAACGCACAUUGCGCCCUCUGGUAUUCCGGAGGGCAUGCCUGUUUGAGUGUCAUUAUCCUCUCACAGGACCGAUUGGUUUCAAACCGUCCGGUUCCUGUUGAUGUUGGAGGCUGCGAAAGUUCUCACUUGUGGGAAACACGCUCCUCUCAAAUGCAUUGGUGCGGCCCGCUGCACAGUCUAUACAACGUUCUAGGUUCGUCCAACUCGUUGCUCGACUGCUGCAAACCUAUUGGUGCUGCACCUUAAGCCCGCCUUGUGCCUCGUGCUCUUGGCAAAACACAUCAAGUAUUGACCUCAGAUCAGGUAGGAUUUACGCGCUGAACUUAA
rnacentral:rRNA from 1 species